GAAGAAUAGCACCACUGAAGGAGCCCAACUGUGAUUCCGUUUUCAUGCAAAGAGUCAAAGUCAAAGUUAAAAAAAAAGGAACAAAAUCCCUUAACAUGAAGGUCUUGUAUCUCUCACCAGACUCCAACCAGCAGGACUGGAUAAUGAGAACUUCACACCAUGUUGUGAUAUGCAUUUGCUGGCCACUCAGUCUGAACAAUGUAUACGGACAAGCGUCACUGAACAGAAAGAAGGAAAGCAUCCCUUGGAGGAAUCAGAUUACUCUUCUACCCUGUGCCUGUGCACCAGACCUGUAAAGCCCUCUGGACACCGGGCUGCUUAUGGUGUAUGU
rnacentral:lncRNA from 1 species